rnacentral:rRNA from 1 species
UACAGAGGUCUCAAGCGUUUGUUCGGAUUCAUUGGGCGUAAAGGGUGCGUAGGCGGCGCGGUAAGUCGGGUGUGAAAUUUCGAGGCUUAACUUCGAAACUGCAUUCGAUACUGCCGUGCUUGAGGACUGGAGAGGAGACUGGAAUUUACGGUGUAGCGGUGAAAAUGCGUAGAUAUCGUAAGGAAGACCAGUGGCGAAGGCGGGGUCUCUGGACAGUUCCUGAC